CAUCAAAUCCUCCAACGGGAGGAGGUGGUGGAUAUUACCCUCCAUCAACACCAUCAAAUCCUCCAACAGGAGGAGGUGGUGGAAAUAAUCCUCCCUCACCUGAUAUUACUCCUCCAACACCUGCCAUUGUAAGCCCACCAACCACCACUCCUCCAACUCCUUACUUUCCCAUUCCAACUCCAUCCACUCCGGACGUUCCCUCACCUCCGUUCACUCCUGAUCCAAAUUCACCCUAUACAUGCAAGUAAGUUUUUACUUACGUAUUUUAAUUCUUAGCUUGUUGCAUUGUAAAGUAGGUACUCCACUCAGUGGGAAAGCCACGUCGAAGAAGAGGAAAGCAAUUUCUGUGCAGGUCCUGUAGUUGAAACUCAGGGCCUGCCAUAAUUUUUCCUUCUAUCCUUAACCAUUUUCCCCUUGAUUUAUGUAAAAUGGUGGUAUGAAAUCCUGGUUUCGCCCUUCUCUACAUUGAUAUAUAUAUAUAUAUAUAUAUAUAUAAAAUGACAUGAAUGUUCUUGUUUAAUUUAUAUACAGUUACUGGAAAAAUCAUCCUGGUUUAGUAUGGGGUCUGCUUGGCUGGUGGGGAACAGUUGGCAAUGCAUUUGGAGUAACUAGCUUGCCUAGUUUUGGAACAAGCAUGAACGUACAACAAGCACUUGCAAAUACACGUGCUGAUGGGUAUGGGAGUCUCUACAGGGAAGGUA
rnacentral:lncRNA from 1 species